rnacentral:lncRNA from 1 species
UACUUCCAAAUCUGUUACAUCUGUUCAGUUAAAUAUGUUGAUUGUUAGAACUUUUAGGCUAAAAGGAUGUUAAGGGUAUGUAAUCCAGAUUCCUUAUUUUCUUGAGAGAAAGGACUUCCAGUUUUGUGGACUGCAUUCACAUUUAUCAGUAGCACUCUGAUAAAUAUCAUAUUAGAAUUGGUUUGUUUUUUUUCUUUUUUUCCCUGCCUAUCUGUAUAUAGGCUCUCCCUACCAUAUCUUAUUCUUUGUAAUACUUCUACUUUAGGUCCUGUUUACCUCUGAUUUGGAAAGAGAGAGAGUCUUG